UAUGUACCUGAUUGUAACCACUACUCCAAUAAGCAAAUGUGCAUUUUCUCGUUUUCCGACCUCUGUAAGUGAAAGGCGUCGCUGGAGCCAUGUGAUAAGAUGGGCGGACUGGAAACCCAGUGACAACAUUCGGGUCUAUAAAGAUGGUGAUACAGCAUUGGAAAAAGACCUACCACUGACCAAAGGUAGUGCAUCCCUCAGGCCAUCCGGUGCAUGGACAUCCUGUGCCAGUGUGAUCCAGUUGUGGAGACUACAGCAGAUCGAGCCUGUGGACGGACAGACAUGAGGCGUGACAUGUGGAACAUCAGGCUCACCCCAUGAGAAGCAGUGCAUGAUCAAAGCCACCUUCAGCAAGUUGAUCUGUUGGAAGUGAUGUACUCUCUCUCUCUCUGGGGGUAAGACAUAAUUUAAACAUCACAGAUAGAAAUUCCCAGUGUGCCCAUGAUAAAAUGCAAUGUGAAUUGUGUUGUACCACUGAAUGAAACUGUGAGGAGAUGCACUCAGACCAGCCUUUGUGAUUGAACUUGCGUUAACUACUGUACAUUACUUUAGUUGGCUCUUUUGAGCAAAACUUGUAUGUAAUAUAGCCUAUUCUGGCAGCCUAGUGUGUGUGUAUGUGGAAUAUUUCUGGACCAUUGGCUUCCCUGAAAACAGUUACUGACAGGAGGAGCAAUAUGAGUCUGUCAGAGGUCAUCACGCUGAUGGGGAUGGUGAUGGAGGCUUUGGUGGUCCACACAACGAAGAAGCAGGUGUCCCUUCCAGUGAUGUGGAGCUGACCUUAAGGAUUGUCUUCACGGAGGCUGUAAGAGCCUCCCUCCUUGAUAUAGCAAUCCUUCGACUUCACUGCCUUUUCAAUGGUAAGGUCCACCACUGCUGUGGUGCCCACCAGACGAUUCGGUGAGGUACCCAGGAUCCCAGACCCCGUGACCCAAAGCCUGGACUCCUGCACAUCCAUCCCUGUAGCCGUUUGCCUUGAUGCCUCACUGGAUGGUCUGGUGCCCUCCUCUUCGUUAUAUGUCUCCCACUUUACAGACAACACCCCAUCCAACAACUGUGAUCUGUGGACCCUUUUUAGCAGCAGCAGAGUUAGCUUGGCCCUAACCAUUGCUCCAUAAUUGCUGGCCAUUAACCAUUCUCUCCUCAUGGUGUGCCAGUUGGGGUUGGUGCGCUGUCAAACUGUUGCCUGCCCUAUAGCCUCAUGCAGCCAUGAUGCCUGCAUGCCCCAGGUGCCCUUGCUUUUUAACAAUGUCCGGUACAGACAGGGGUGACAGGGAUGACAGGGAGGGUAUCGGUUGUUCUGGUUCAGGUUCAAGGAGACAUGCCAUUCCACUGAACCUGCCCCGGAGACGGUUCCUUAGCGACUGAAGAUCCUCCUCUGUGGUCUCUCGGGACAGAGGGUGGUAGUCUUCGGCCGGGUACAGGUCAUCCACUGACUGCACCUGGUUGGGCACGGCUGGCUUCCUCCACUCGCAUUCCACAUCCGUACGGACGAUAUUGUGAACCGCCAAAAUAGGCUGCAUGGCUAUACUUAUGAGGUCCAUGGAGGCAUUCGCAUGUGGUAGAGAGAAUCCCCUAGUCACCUAUAGAGACCUGCCAAGAGGAAGAAUGUUAAGUGCCACGCCUUUCAAUGCAUGACUUUGAACACCUUGAAAUGCAUUCGUUGU